CGGCAGCUCAACCGUAGCUUAAGGCUCUCAGCCCCGCGUAGGCCUUUCAUCGUCUCGGGUCAUCCCGGAAGAAGAAGGGUGAACUCUGUGUAAUGAGACGUUCUACGAGUAUGCGGCAGAGAGAGCACAGUCACGUAACUUUCGAGUACAUUGUUAUGACUUCUGGUAUUGUUGUUAAUCUUUGAGUGUGCCUAAUGGAUACAGUUAACUUUAUUAUAUAGGCAUCAAGCAAGCAGUCUCCAAGCAUGAAACAUCAUUCACCUCAUUUCAGACAGACCCCGUGACGAAUUAUAGCUUCCUCAGACAUUAAAAAUCCAUUGAUCAAGAGAAGUUGUAAGACAUGGAAGAAAAAUUAAUCCAUACGCCUCUUAGAAAGAAAAGAAGAAACCGCUUUUCUAAAUGACCUUUGAACUAAACAGUCUUAAAAGUACUUGCCAAUUUCAUGUGGCUUCUGAGACCGUAUACUAUCAAGACCUGAAGUAUCAGACCUUAUACUACUUUCAGAAAUGCAGGCUGAACAGGGUGCCUGCACAUUGUUCCUGGAAGAAGAAGGAAAACAGAAUUCUCUCCCUACCGUCCAAAUCUUCUCAAAUGCUUAUUCCACAAAAUAUUUGGUAAAAGACACGUUGUUGUAAAGUCCAGAUAAUACUCCUUAUACCACUUCAUAAAAAUGUAUGAGCUGAGACCCCUCCAGUUUCCACAAGCAAACUUCAGGUAACUUUCAAGGAAAAAAAGUGUCAAUUAAAUGGACUAAAAAGAAAUUAACUUGUAUUAAAGGGAUCCAGAAACUCUGAAGACUCCUUUGGGCAUGAAAGAAGAGGGCUCUGCAGAGUCUCCUCCUGCUGCACUGUGCAGUUUUGAAUUGGCUGUCAAGGUGUGCUAGAAGAAAGGUCUUAUUUUCCUCUGUGCCCCUGAUGAACCUGUGUACUUGAAAAGACUUUAAAGAGCAACUGAAUGAUUUUGGAUGUCCCUUGAAAUUCAAACCAAAUUGGAAGCCAGACGGUUGUUACCCAUAAUCCCCACAUGAGAUGAAUCUCAGGAAGCCCAUCUGCUUGAAUUCCCUGCUUCCACAUGGAAGUUAGGAUCUCCAGCUAUUCAUAAUCUGGGUUUCAGUUACCCUCAGUCAACUGUGGUCAGGAAGCAGAUAAUCCUCCUUCUAACAUAUGGUCAGAAGGUCAACAGUAGCCUAACACUUCAUCUCAAUGUCUAUAUCAUUCACCUCAAUUCAUCUCAUCACAUAGGCAUUUUAUCAUCUCAUACCAUCACAAGAAGAAUAAGGGAUGAAGUAUGUAUUCUAUGUCAUCUGGAUGAUGCUGUUUCCCCCAUUGCUGUGGACAUAUCUGGCGGUGGUACGGAAGGGAAGUGGCAGUUCCCAGACCUGCUCCAGUCAUACUGUCCAGUUUGAAGUAAAGUGACAGGAGAGCUGACCAGCAGCAGGCAAAAUCGAGGUCCACAUUCAAGUACAUUUAUCAUUAUAGAAAUGGUUGUUUUCUGAGUCUAGAGCCCUACAGUUGAGCAUAUGAUGCAAAAUUACAUGAGUGAAGUGGCUAUAUCUGACUGUGGGAAUAGUCUAGUAAAACCUU